rnacentral:rRNA from 1 species
AUUGAACGCUGGCGGCAGGCCUAACACAUGCAAGUCGAACGAGUGGCGGACGGGUGAGUAAUGUCUGGGAAACUGCCUGAUGGAGGGGGAUAACUACUGGAAACGGUAGCUAAUACAGCAUAACAUCAGAUGUUCCCAGAUGGUAUUAGCUCGUAGGUGGGGUAAAGGCUCACCUAGGCGACGAUCCCUAGCUGGUCUGAGAGGAUGACCAUCCAGACUGGAAAUGAGACACGGUCCAGACUCCUACGGGAGGCAGCAGUGGUGAAUAUUGCACAAUGGGCGCAAGCCUGAUGCAGCCAGGCCGCGUGUAUGAAGAAGGCCUUCGGGUUGUAAAGUACUUGCAGCGGGUAGGCGUUACCCGCAGAAGAAGCACCGGCUAACUCCGUGCCAGCAGCCGCGGUAAUAC